AUAGGUUGUCAUGUGUAAGUUGGCGUGUGGCAGAAAAAGGUACUAAUUUUGACAGUUGUGUUGACAGUUCUAACAGCUUGGUAGCCUCACGUGUGUCGGUGCUAAUAAUUUGUGUUUUAAAGUGUAAAAAUCAUUACGAAACAUGCCAAAAGUAGUGCGUAGUGCAGCUAGAGAAAUUAUUCUAGCUGUAAAACGUUUUUGUGAAGAGGAGAAACGUAACAAUGGGCCGAUUAUUCCAUUUCAACAAGUGAAUGCUCGAACAGCGACUUUGACAGGUGUUUCUGAAAGAACCGUGAACCGUAUAGUUUCAGAGGGAAAAAUCAUGGAAAGUAAUUUUACAGCGAGAACUGAAGUCCCUAAUCAAGCAGCUCAAGGACCUUCCACAUCCACAGCUUGUGAUGACAAUUCCACACCAG